rnacentral:rRNA from 1 species
CAGCAGCCACGGUAAUACGUAGGGUGCAAGCGUUAAUCGGAAUUACCGGGCGUAAAGCGUGCGCAGGCGGUCCGUUAAGACAGAUGUGAAAUCCCCGGGCUUAACCUGGGAACUGCAUUUGUGACUGGCGGGCUAGAGUAUGGCAGAGGGGGGUAGAAUUCCACGUGUAGCAGUGAAAUGCGUAGAGAUGUGGAGGAAUACCGAUGGCGAAGGCAGCCCCCUGGGCCAAUACUGACGCUCAUGCACGAAAGCGUGGGGAGCAAACAGGAUUAGAUACCCGCGUAGUCCCUGUCUCUUAUAA